rnacentral:lncRNA from 1 species
UCACAACCCUUCUUCCACUCAUAAUUUAUUCUCUUAGUAUAAUAUUUGCCUAUAAAAAGGGUUAUGUUUGUUCAAGAGGAAGAAUAUAUCACAAGAAACUCGCCCAAGUGCCUUAAGGCCUUUUGAGUGUUCAUUUACAUAUUUCCAUAUCAAAAUUAUAUAAUAUUUUUGAUUAGGGCUACAUUGUCUUUGUUUGUUGAUCAGUAUUAUGAGCUCCAUAGUAGGUGAGAAUUGGGAGCACGUGGAGAGCCAAGACUGGUCGGAGUUGUCGCCACGAAAUCACAAUAUUCUAAUGUCAUUGCUGGAUGAAACGCAGAUCGACGAGUGUGAUGAUGAAAGACUAACAAAAGUGAUCCAGUCUUUACAAGAUGAACUCGAUGAUUGUGCAUGGGAGAGUAGCCAAUCAUCUAUUGAUGAGUUGUAUCCGUCGAUGGCUGCCGUUGAUGUUGAUCUUCAAUGGAUCGAUGUAGAGAUGAUGCCUAUGAUUCAUGAAGGUGGUGUGUUUGAUCAAGAACAAAUCCUCUCUUCUUUGAGUAUGCAUGAAUAGCUAAUUACAUGUAGAUUCCUAAAUUAUAUGAACAAUAAGUUUCUCAAGAUGUUAUGUUAUGAGAAGUCACCUCAGUUGACUGGCGACUGUCGUUUUAGUUGAGUACUUUAGUUCUAAUUAAACUCAAUAUUUGAUAAAGCUAAUGGUACUUUUACAUCCAAUUCUCAAGAAAGAACCAAGUAAUUUACAAAGAUCGUAACUUUAUCGAGUCUCGGAACUAGUACAUGCAUACACUUCCCAAUAUAUAAUAUUAAAUUGUCACCAUUCACCAGAUUAUUGAUGCAUCAUUUUUCACCAAAAAUGAUUUCGAUUAAUAAACUCAAUAAUUGGGCUGCCACGUACUAGUACAUGAUUAUAUUGUGCUGCCAACUAAAAAAAUAAAUAUGGUCAUUCCAAUUUCGAGAUGGGCCUUUAGAUUAAUCUUUUGUUUAGACUUUAAUUAGUUUGCUUAAUCGAAAAUUAGAUUUAAUUGUCUUAAUUGGGCCUUUAGAUUUAAUCUUUUGUUUAGACUUUAAUUCUAUUCAUAGCCCCAUUCUAUUCUACAUAGCCUCCUUAUUUAAAAAAAUAUUUUUAUUAUUUAAUAAUUUACUAUUUUAUCUUUAAUUUAAAAAACAAUUUACUAACAUAGUCUUGCCCAUAUCUUCGUCUCUCUCCGCCAGCAGCCCCUUAGCAAGGGGCAGGUCUGCAACGCCAAGAAGACUCUCUCCUCCAUGGCUUUCGACGACAUCAACAUCAAAUUUCCCAACCCAAUACAUCACACAAAUCUCAAUUCAACGACAUAAGUUGUGAAUCAAUCAAGAGUGCCGAAGGCAGGGGAGCCGGCGAUGUGAAAAAAUCGACACCAAAAUCCAUGAAUGGUGGCGCUCCAGUUUUCGGUGGGGCACAUCACCUUCUUGAGUACCUUUGUAUUGAUUUUUUGUGAUUUCUUUAUUUUGUAAUUUUUUGGAUAAGAUGGGUUAUUGUUGUAUGAUUGUAUCAAAAUAAAGGGAAGCAGAGAGAGAAAUAAAAGGAAGGGAUGGGAUAAUUUUCAUCUAUGAUUCAUUACUGUUCAACGAAGCUCUAAAUACCCAAAAUUGGGGGACCACUACAAGGCAGAUGGCUUCAUGAGAAUUAAAAGCAUAAUUUGACCAAACAAAUGGGAGGCGGUAAAUAAUCAUUUACAUCUAACUUGAAUGAGUAUCAAUUACUCCAUUAGUAGCAUUCUUCCUCCAUUUUCAGUCAAAAGCUUCUCCUUCUUCCUUGCGAACCCAAGCCUGCCUUCAAUCAUUUUCACUAAUUACCUCCGAGACCG